GUCAACAUCGAGGAAACUUAACGAUGGAGCAAGGCUCACAAAAUGCAAGCAAGAUGCUUUAAAGACACUUAAGUAAAGGGAGGACAUGCGGCAAAGCAGAGACUGGAAUUUGGAUUUCAGUUGCUUCUGAUGGCCCCUUGUUUGAAAUCUGGCACACAGAGAAGCGUCAGUGAAACAGCCGACAUCUCCAAUGGCCCGCAGAACCACUGCUGCGUGUCUGAGGCCAUCAGGAAUGCCCCACAUCCGCUCUGGGAGAUGUCCUCCCCUGACUGGAGCAGGCUGGAAUUUGAACUGAGCCAUCAAAUUGAUUUGUACGAUCAGUAGGCUCAUUUGUGAAAGCUUGAGUUUAGAACAAUUUGGGCCAAUUAGCACAUUCAUAUAUAGACCAUUCAAAGGCUUGACUUGGCACCAGUCAUGGAUCUGAAUUGAGACCAGUCUUGAGUUUAGAUCAGUCACAGGCUGUGAGCUGAUUGAAAGAACACUUUCAGGUUCUCUGACCCCUCUGUGCUGUAGCACAGGCUCUGUGCAAAUAAAGAC
rnacentral:lncRNA from 1 species